AUGGUUUCAACAUCUCAAAAGGAGAAACCAAACCUUCCACCUAAAAGAGGCAACAUCAAAGCUCAAAUAUUAAGCAACUUAAUCAAAUUUGUGGCCUCUUCAAUCUCAAAAGAUGCAAAAUCCAAAGAAAAUGAUGAUAACAAAGAUGGUGGCUCUACAACAUCAACACCACCAUCAAGUGCCUACAAUUCCGAUGUCUCCUCUUAA
rnacentral:lncRNA from 1 species